rnacentral:rRNA from 1 species
GACGUAGGGCGCGAGCGUUGUCCGGAUUUAUUGGGCGUAAAGAGCUCGUAGGCGGCUUGUCGCGUCGUUCGUGAAAACUCACAGCUCAACUGUGAGCUUGCGGUCGAUACGGGCAGGCUAGAGUUCGGUAGGGGAGACUGGAAUUCCUGGUGUAGCGGUGAAAUGCGCAGAUAUCAGGAGGAACACCGAUGGCGAAGGCAGGUCUCUGGGCAUUAACUGACGCUGAGGAGCGAAAGCAUGGGGAGCGAACAGG